UUGUAGGCUAGGUGGCGGGCUAGUCCUCCGCUGUACCCAAAAACGGACUUCAUGUUGGGACCAAAUGCCAGGCGAGGUAUAUUAUUUGUGUAUUGGUCUUGAACCGUACGUAGAUCCUCUGUCCUGCAGGAUUGGUAUUUUUGCGAAUCAUGUGAGGCCAGGAAUGGAGCAACAUUAAUCAUUAAUGCUGAUGCUUACAGGGAAGCAGAGGGGAGGAAAGUUCAAGGCAAACCGAUUCACAAGCAUUAUAUCGACCCUGGAGGCCUACAC
rnacentral:SRP_RNA from 1 species